rnacentral:tRNA from 1 species
GGAGCUGUGCCUGAAAUUAAGGGCCACUUUGAUAGAGUGAAACACGGGGGUUAGAAUCCCCCCAGCUCCU